rnacentral:rRNA from 1 species
AACGAACGCUGGCGGCAGGCUUAACACAUGCAAGUCGAACGCAUCCUUCGGGGUGAGUGGCAGACGGGUGAGUAACGCGUGGGAACGUGCCCUUCAGUUCGGGAUAACCCAGGGAAACUUGGGCUAAUACCGGAUACGUGCGAGAGCAGAAAGAUUUAUCGCUGAAGGAUCGGCCCGCGUCUGAUUAGCUGGUUGGUGGGGUAAUGGCCCACCAAGGCGACGAUCAGUAGCUGGUCUGAGGGGAUGAUCAGCCACAUUGGGACUGAGACACGGCCCGAACUCCUACGGGAGGCAGCAGGGGGGAAUAUUGGACAAUGGGCGCAAGCCUUAUCCAGCCAUGCCGCGUGAGUGAUGAAGGCCUUAGGGUUGUAAAGCUCUUUCGUCCGGGACGAUAAUGACGGUACCGGAAGAAGAAGCCCCGGCUAACUUCGUGCCAGCCGCCGCCGUAA